rnacentral:lncRNA from 1 species
AAAAAUCAUUCGAAACAUUAGGCCACACCAAUUUAAUUUCUUGUUCUACGGAUUUUUGGACUACAAAAUUUGGGGCGAGCGAGCGAUUUGAAAAUUUUAAUAAAAAAAUAUUUAAUUUGCAAAUUUUUGAGGCGAAGCUUGAAAAGUAAAGGCGAGCGAUUAUAAUUUUUUUUGUAAACAGAAAAUAGUAGGUUUUGACAAUAUUAAAGCUUGAUUUCUCACUUUUACUUUGACAUUUCUUUAAUUUCUGAAGUAUUUUUUCCCUGUUCACCAAGAAAUAAUUAAAUCUGGUCUAUGUAUGUGUGACUGACAAUGACACAAUUCUCCAUCCAAGUCAUAAUCAGUUUUGGGACAACCCCUUAAUGUUAUAAAUAUCCCUUUUACAUGUUUUAUGAGGGAUCAAUAUAAGUUAUAAUAUAUUUGUUUGUACAAAAGGGCUCAUAUUUUCUCAAAGAAC